rnacentral:rRNA from 1 species
UGGGGAAUUUUGGACAAUGGGCGAAAGCCUGAUCCAGCAAUGCCGCGUGUGUGAAGAAGGCCUUCGGGUUGUAAAGCACUUUUGUCCGGAAAGAAAUCCUUGGCUCUAAUACAGUCGGGGGAUGACGGUACCGGAAGAAUAAGCACCGGCUAACUACGUGCCAGCAGCCGCGGUAAUACGUAGGGUGCAGGCGUUAAUCGGAAUUACUGGGCGUAAAGCGUGCGCAGGCGGUUUGCUAAGACCGAUGUGAAAUCCCCGGGCUCAACCUGGGAACUGCAUUGGUGACUGGCAGGCUAGAGUAUGGCAGAGGGGGGUAGAAUUCCACGUGUAGCAGUGAAAUGCGUAGAGAUGUGGAGGAAUACCGAUGGCGAAGGCAGCCCCCUGGGCCAAUACUGACGCUCAUGCACGAAAGCGUGGGGAGCAAACAGGAUUAGAUACCCUGGUAGUCCACGCCCUAAACGAUGUCAACUAGUUGUUGGGGAUUCAUUCCUUAGUAACGUAGCUAACGCGUGAAGUUGACCGCCUGGGGAGUACGGUUGCAAGAUUAAAACUCAAAUGAAUUGACGGGGUCAUAGCUGUUUCCU